rnacentral:rRNA from 1 species
UACGUAGGGGGCUAGCGUUGUCCGGAUUUAUUGGGCGUAAAGAGCGUGUAGGCGGCCGAGUAAGUCCGGUGUGAAAACUCGAGGCUCAACCUCGAGACGUCGGUGGAAACCGUAUGGCUAGAGUCCGGAAGAGGAGAGUGGAAUUCCUGGUGUAGCGGUGAAAUGCGCAGAUAUCAGGAAGAACACCCGUGGCGAAGGCGGCUCUCUGGGACGGUACUGACGCUGAGACGCGAAAGCGUGGGGAGCGAACAGG